UGCAGUCGACGGGCUCUUCGGAGCUAGUGGCGGACGGGUGAGUAACACGUGAGAAUCUGGCUCCCGGUCGGGGACAACAGAGGGAAACUUCUGCUAAUCCCGGAUGAGCCGAAAGGUAAAAGAUUUAUCGCCGGGAGAUGAGCUCGCGUCUGAUUAGCUAGUUGGUGGGGUAAUGGCCUACCAAGGCAAUGAUGCGUAGCCGAGCUGAGAGGCUGAUCGGCCACACUGGAACUGAGACACGGUCCAGACUCCUACGGGAGGCAGCAGUUAGGGAUAUUCGGCAAUGGACGAAAGUCUGACCGAGCAAUGCCGCGUGAAUGAAGAAGUAUUUCGAUAUGUAAAGUUCUGUUGUAAGGGAAGAAUGGUCGUGAUAGGAAAUGAUCACGAUUUGACGGUACCUUACCAGAAAGCCCCGGCUAACUACGUGCCAGCAGCCGCGGUAAUACGUAGGGGGCGAGCGUUAUCCGGAUUUAUUGGGCGUAAAGGGUGCGUAGGCGGCCUUACAAGUCUGAGUUGAAAGCCCACGGCUUAACCGUGGAGGGUGCUCGGAAACUGUAAGGCUUGAAUCCAGAAGAGGCAAGUAGAAUUCUAUGUGGAGCGGUGGAAUGCGUAGAUAUAUGGAGGAAUACCAGUGGCGAAGGCGGCUUGCUGGUCUGGGAUUGACGCUGAGGCACGAAAGCGUGGGGAGCAAACAGGAUUAGAUACCCUGGUAGUCCACGCCGUAAACGAUGAGUACUAGGUGUCGGGGAGACUCGGUGCCGAACAAAACUAAUUAAGUACUCCGCCUGGGGAUUACGGCCGCAAGGUUGAAACUCAAAGGAAUUGACGGGUACCCGCACAAGCGGUGGAGCAUGUGGUUUAAUUCGAAGCAACCCGAAGAACCUUACCAGGUCUUGACAUACCGGUGACAACUCUAGAGAUAGAGCCUUCCUUCGGGACACCGGAUACAGGUGGUGCAUGGUUGUCGUCAGCUCGUGUCGUGAGAUGUUGGGGUUAAGUCCCGCAACGAGCGCAACCCUUCGUCUUUUGUUGCUAACAUUCAGUUGAGGACU
rnacentral:rRNA from 1 species